GACCAGACUCCUACGGGAGGCAGCAGUGGGGAAUAUUGCACAAUGGGGGAAACCCUGAUGCAGCGACGCCGCGUGGGUGAAGAAGUAUUUCGGUAUGUAAAGCCCUAUCGGCAGGGAAGAAGCAAGACGGUACCUGACUAAGAAGCCCCGGCUAACUACGUGCCAGCAGCCGCGGUAAUACGUAGGGGGCGAGCGUUAUCCGGAUUCACUGGGUGUAAAGGGAGCGUAGACGGCCAAGCAAGCCAGGGGUGAAAGCCCGGGGCCCAACCCCGGGACUGCCCUUGGAACUGCUUGGCUAGAGUGCAGGAGAGGCAGGCGGAAUUCCUAGUGUAGCGGUGAAAUGCGUAGAUAUUAGGAGGAACACCGGUGGCGAAGGCGGCCUGCUGGACUGUAACUGACGUUGAGGCUCGAAAGCGUGGGGAGCAAACAGGAUUAGAUACCCGAGUA
rnacentral:rRNA from 1 species